GGGGGUGUUCUGGUUUCGACGUGGAUUAUGAAUCUUUAUGUGGCGUGUCUCAGAGCCGUUGGCUGAGUUAACAAACGGCAAAAAUGUAAUCGCAAAUACUGACGAUUAUGCAGAAAUCGCUUUAGUAGCUUAAUACUUUGGCGUCUUUUAGCUAGGUAGCUUGCGCUUGGUUAAAAGUUAAUUUAGCAAACUAGGAAAAUGUUGCUGCUUUGACGGCAUAACUGAAAAUUAUUCAAAGCUAGUUAUAAAGUUCCUGUCUGAGGGAGGCGUUAUGAUGAAAUUCAAACUUAGGCUACACACGUAGAGGCAUUUAGAAACAAAUUCGCGGACGGGGGUUCAAUUCCCCCCACCUCCAUUU
rnacentral:sRNA from 1 species